rnacentral:rRNA from 1 species
CCUACGGGAGGCAGCAGUGGGGAAUUUUGCGCAAUGCUCGAAAGACUGAUGCAGCGACGCCGCGUGAAUGACGAAGGCCUUCGGGUCGUAAAGCCCUUUUGUUAGGGAAGAAAAUGCCUAUAAGUAACUGUUUAUGUAUUGACGGUACCUGUAUAAGCAGCCACGGCUAACUCCGUGCCAGCAGCCGCGGUAAUACGGAGGGGGCAAGCGUUGUUCGGAUUGACUGGGCGUAAAGGGCCCGUAGGCGGUCUGUCAAGUCAAGGGUGAAAGCCCCGGGCUCAACGUGGGUACUGCCUUUGAAACUGGCAAACUGGAGUGUGUGAGAGGAUAGUGGAAUUCCAGGUGUAGGAGUGAAAUGCGUAGAUAUAUGGAGGAACAUCAGUGGCGAAGGCGACUAUCUGGCACAUAACUGACGCUGAGGAGCGAAAGCGUGGGUAGCAAACAGGAUUAGAUACCCGAGUAGUC